GCCUAACUUCUUGGAAGAAUGUGUGGGGAGUUUUGCCGGGGCCAGGCCAGGCCACGGCCUGUGACAGGAAAAGGCCCCGCGGUUGGGGUCAGAGACCCGGGGCAACGCGGUCCUGAGCCCUAGGCAGGCCUCGCCCCCUCUGGCUUCGGUCUCUUCCCGCGUCACACAAGACGCUGGCCUCUUGGGAAGCCAGUUCCCCUCGGAAUCCGGUCUCCGGGUGCUUGGCCCGUGGUGCUGAAGACGGAGAAAGCCAUGCCUCCCAAGAAACACCAGUGCCAGGCAAACCAGGAUGGCUGGUCUCCCACUUGGAUAAAAGCUGGGCACCCAGAGGGACCUGACAUCAGUCGCACACGCAGUGGCUCAGAACUGGGUGCAAGCAGGCACAGCCCCGGCCUUGGAAUCCUUCCUCCCCAGACCCAGCCUCUCAUGCUCUCCAAAAUGACGCCUAGGACACCGGCAACUUCUGCGACAGAAAGCACAGACCCCAGCUUCGUCGAUUUUGGAUGAGUAGACUCUGGAAUGGUGUCAACCAGAGACACUGUGGAAGCACCUCGGUCCCUAGAGGUUGUUGUGGCCAGGCCUGGAAGGGACUCGAUUGUCUCUGGGCGGCCCCUCCCGGAAACCACUGCCGUGUGGUUACCUCAUUUGCUCUUAUUUUUUUCCUCUUUUAAACAACCUUAUUAAAGAUGACUUAACUGCAAAGUGAAACCAUCCCCAGGCUCCUAAGUGAGAUGUGACUCCGUCCGUGAGUGCAGGGUGGCCUGUGCGCGGACACGCUCUGCCAGGAUGUCUGUCCUGUGUGGGGCCGUAACAGGUCACCCGGACCUGGGACACCUCCUCCAGCAUCGGCCUCAUCGCAUAAAGUGUCAGGGAUGCUCUUA